AGCGAACGCUGGCGGCAGGCUUAACACAUGCAAGUCGAGCGGGCCCUUCGGGGUCAGCGGCAGACGGGUGAGUAACGCGUGGGAACGUGCCCUUCGGUUCGGAAUAACUCAGGGAAACUUGAGCUAAUACCGGAUACGCCCUUUCGGGGAAAGGCUUGACUGCCGAAGGAUCGGCCCGCGUCUGAUUAGCUAGUUGGUGAGGUUACGGCUCACCAAGGCGACGAUCAGUAGCUGGUCUGAGAGGAUGAUCAGCCACACUGGGACUGAGACACGGCCCAGACUCCUACGGGAGGCAGCAGUGGGGAAUAUUGGACAAUGGGGGCAACCCUGAUCCGGCCAUGCCGCGUGAGUGAUGACGGCCUUAGGGUUGUAAAGCUCUUUUCUCCGGGACGAUAAUGACGGUACCGGAGGAAUAAGCCCCGGCUAACUUCGUGCCAGCCGCCGCGGUAA
rnacentral:rRNA from 1 species